rnacentral:tRNA from 1 species
GAACGAAAAUCCGUUGGUUUCACGAAACCGUGAGGGUUCGAAUCCCUCUAUCCCCAGC